rnacentral:rRNA from 1 species
GUUGUAUGGUUAAGUGACUAAGCGUACACGGUGGAUGCCUUGGCAGUCAGAGGCGAUGAAAGACGUAGUAACUUGCGAUAAGCCCAGAUUAGGUAGUAACAACCAUUUGAGUCUGGGAUUUCUGAAUGGGGAAACCCACGUGCAUAAGCACGUAUCCUUACCUGAAUACAUAGGGUAAGGAGGCGAACCGGGGGAACUGAAACAUCUAAGUACCCCGAGGAAAAGAAAUCAACCGAGAUUCCGAAAGUAGCGGCGAGCGAAAUUGGACUAGCCCUUAAGCUUUACACGCGUUAGACGAACGGUCUGGAAAGUCCGACGAUACAGGGUGAUAGUCCCGUAGUUGACGACGUGUGUUCAGUGAAAUCGAGUAGGGCGGGACACGUGAUAUCCUGUCUGAAUAUGGGGGGACCAUCCUCCAAGGCUAAAUACUACUGACUGACCGAUAGUGAACCAGUACCGUGAGGGAAAGGCGAAAAGAACCCCUGUGAGGGGAGUGAAAUAGAACCUGAAACCGUGUACGUACAAGCAGUAGGAGCACCUUCGUGGUGUGACUGCGUACCUUUUGUAUAAUGGGUCAGCGACUUAUAUUCAGUGGCAAGGUUAACCAUCUAGGGGAGCCGUAGGGAAACCGAGUCUUAACUGGGCGUUCAGUCUCUGGAUAUAGACCCGAAACCAGGUGAUCUAGCCAUGGGCAGGUUGAAGGUUGAGUAACAUCAACUGGAGGACCGAACCGACUAAUGUUGAAAAAUUAGCGGAUGACUUGUGGCUAGGGGUGAAAGGCCAAUCAAACCUGGAGAUAGCUGGUUCUCCCCGAAAGCUAUUUAGGUAGCGCCUCGGACGAAUACUACUGGGGGUAGAGCACUGUUAAGGCUAGGGGGUCAUCCCGACUUACCAACCCUUUGCAAACUCCGAAUACCAGUAAGUACUAUCCGGGAGACACACGGCGGGUGCUAACGUCCGUCGUGGAGAGGGAAACAACCCAGACCGCCAGCUAAGGUCCCAAAUUACUACUAAGUGGGAAACGAUGUGGGAAGGCUCAGACAGCCAGGAUGUUGGCUUAGAAGCAGCCAUCAUUUAAAGAAAGCGUAAUAGCUCACUGGUCGAGUCGGCCUGCGCGGAAGAUGUAACGGGGCUAAGUAGUAAACCGAAGCUGCGGCAAUAUACUUUUGUAUAUUGGGUAGGGGAGCGUUCUGUAAGCGGUUGAAGGUGUGUGGUAACGCAUGCUGGACGUAUCAGAAGUGCGAAUGCUGACAUGAGUAACGAUAAAGGGGGUGAAAAACCUCCUCGCCGGAAGACCAAGGGUUCCUGUCCAACGUUAAUCGGGGCAGGGUAAGUCGACCCCUAAGGCGAGGCCGAAAGGCGUAGUCGAUGGGAAACGGGUUAAUAUUCCCGUACUUCUUACAAUUGCGAUGGGGGGACGGAGAAGGCUAGGUGGGCCUGGCGACGGUUGUCCAGGUUCAAGUGCGUAGGCUUAAGAGUUAGGUAAAUCCGGCUCUUUUUAAGGCUGAGACACGACGUCGAGCACCUACGGGUGUGAAGUCAUUGAUGCCAUGCUUCCAGGAAAAGCCUCUAAGCUUCAGAUUGUAAGGAAUCGUACCCCAAACCGACACAGGUGGUCGGGUAGAGAAUACCAAGGCGCUUGAGAGAACUCGGGUGAAGGAACUAGGCAAAAUGGUACCGUAACUUCGGGAGAAGGUACGCUCUCGACGGUGAAGUCCCUCGCGGAUGGAGCUAUUGAGAGUCGCAGAUACCAGGUGGCUGCAACUGUUUAUUAAAAACACAGCACUGUGCAAAAUCGUAAGAUGACGUAUACGGUGUGACGCCUGCCCGGUGCCGGAAGGUUAAUUGAUGGGGUUAGACUUCGGUCGAAGCUCUUGAUCGAAGCCCCGGUAAACGGCGGCCGUAACUAUAACGGUCCUAAGGUAGCGAAAUUCCUUGUCGGGUAAGUUCCGACCUGCACGAAUGGCGUAAUGAUGGCCACGCUGUCUCCACCCGAGACUCAGUGAAAUUGAAAUCGCUGUGAAGAUGCAGUGUACCCGCGGCUAGACGGAAAGACCCCGUGAACCUUUACUACAGCUUGGCACUGAACAUUGACCCUACAUGUGUAGGAUAGGUGGGAGGCUUUGAAGCACGUACGCCAGUAUGUGUGGAGCCGUCCUUGAAAUACCACCCUUGUAGUGUUGAUGUUCUAACGUCGACCCCUUAUCGGGGUUGCGGACAGUGCCUGGUGGGUAGUUUGACUGGGGCGGUCUCCUCCCAAAGAGUAACGGAGGAGCACGAAGGUGGGCUAAUCACGGUUGGACAUCGUGAGGUUAGUGCAAUGGCAUAAGCCCGCUUGACUGCGAGAAUGACAAUUCGAGCAGGUGCGAAAGCAGGUCAUAGUGAUCCGGUGGUUCUGAAUGGAAGGGCCAUCGCUCAACGGAUAAAAGGUACUCCGGGGAUAACAGGCUGAUACCGCCCAAGAGUUCAUAUCGACGGCGGUGUUUGGCACCUCGAUGUCGGCUCAUCACAUCCUGGGGCUGAAGUCGGUCCCAAGGGUAUGGCUGUUCGCCAUUUAAAGUGGUACGCGAGCUGGGUUUAGAACGUCGUGAGACAGUUCGGUCCCUAUCUGCCGUGGGCGUUGGAAGAUUGAAGGGGGCUGCUCCUAGUACGAGAGGACCGGAGUGGACGAACCUCUGGUGUUCGGGUUGUGUCGCCAGACGCAUUGCCCGGUAGCUAAGUUCGGAAUCGAUAACCGCUGAAAGCAUCUAAGCGGGAAGCGAGCCCUGAGAUGAGUCUUCCCUGAUACUUUAAGUAUCCUAAAGGGUUGUCGGAGACUACGACGUUGAUAGGUCAGGUGUGUAAGUGCUGUGAGGCAUUGAGCUAACUGAUACUAAUUGCCCGUGAGGCUUAACCAUACAACACCCAAGGGGUUU